CUCAUUAACACCUAUGUCUUGGAGUCAAGACCCGAAGUUCUGGCGUUGGACUUUUCCUGCCAAGAGCAGGGCAGGCACCGAGAGGAGAGCCCCCAGGCUCUCUGCAGGAGGAGGUGCACAUCGGGUGGAGAACCAGGGGCAGAGCAAGCCCGUGAGAGAUCCUGCAAGGUACUUGAGGAAAUGGCACCAAGAUGUGAGACAAGAAAUCAAGUCCAAGGCAAUAUGAAAUGAAAAAGAGGCAA
rnacentral:lncRNA from 1 species